rnacentral:rRNA from 1 species
AUUGAACGCUGGCGGCAGGCCUAACACAUGCAAGUCGAGCGGAGCGGCGGACGGGCGAGUAAUGCCUAGGAAUCUGCCUGGUAGUGGGGGAUCACGUCAGGAAACGGGCGCUAAUACCGCAUACUAUCAGAUGAGCCUAGGUCGGAUUGGCUAGUUGGUGGGGUAAGGGCCUACCAAGGCGACGAUCCGUAACUGGUCGGAGGGGAUGAUCAGUCACACGGGAACUGAGACACGGUCCAGCCUCCAACGGGAGGCAGCAGUGGGGAAUAUUGGACAAUGGGCGAAAGCCUGAUCCAGGCAUGCCGCGUGUGGGAAGAGGGUCUUCGGAUUGUGAAGUACUUUAAGUUGGGAGGCGUUACCAACAGAAGAAGCACCGGCUAACUUCGUGCCAGCAGCCGCGGUAAUUC